GGGGGAAAAAUUAAUAAAAUAAAAUUAAUAAAAUAAAUUUUAAAGUUAAAAAUAAAUUAAUGGGGGUUAAAGUAUUUUUAAUAGAAAAAAUUUAAAAUUUUAUAUUGAAUUAAGUAUUGUAUAAGAAAUUUGAAAUAAUUGAAAUUUAAUUAAUAAAAAAGAAAAUUUUAUUUAUUGUAUCUUGUGUAUCAGAGUUUAUUAAAUAAAAUUUUUAUAAAAAAAAAUCUCGAAUUUAAAAGAGUUAAUUAAUUAAAAAAGUUAAUAUAACAUAAUUAUUUUAAAUAAUUAAUUAGCAAUGAAAUGUUAAUCGUUUUUAAAUAUAUCUAGUUAUUUUAGAAAAAAAUUUAAUUUUAAAUUUAAAUAAUUUUGCAAUUUAAUAUUAUAAAUUAUAAAAAUUUAAAUUUAAUAUAUUAAGGGAUAAGCUUUAAAUUAAAAAUUUAUAAUAAAAAUUAAAUUAAAAUUAAAAUUUUUAAAAUUUAUAUUGUUUAAAAAUUAUAAUUUAUUAUAAAAAAUUUUAUUAAAAAUAAAAUUUAAAAUAUAAAUUUAAAUUUUUAUAAAAUAAUAAUUUAUAAUAAUUAAAAAUUAGUAAUAAUGAUAAAAUAAGUAUAAAAAAAAAAAUAAAAAAGUAAAUAAUUAAUUAAAGUUAAUUAAAAGGAAUUCGGCAAAAUUAAAUAUUCACUUGUUUAUCAAAAACAUGUCUUUUUGAUAAUAAUUUAAAGUCUAAUCUGCCCACUGAUAAAAUUAAAGGGCUGCAGUAUAUUGACUGUACAAAGGUAGCAUAAUCAUUAGUUUUUUAAUUGGAAACUUGUAUGAAAGAUUUGAUGAAAUAUAAACUGUCUCUUAAUUAUUUUUAAAAAUUUAUUUUUUAGUUAAAAAGCUAAAAUAAACUUAAAAGACGAGAAGACCCUAUAGAGUUUAAUAUUUAAUUUUAUUUUUUUUUUUUAUAAAAAUUAACAUUAAAAUAAAAUUAAAUAUUUUAUUGGGGUGAUAGAAAAAUUAAAUUAACUUUUUUUAAAAAUUAAACAUAAAUAAAUGAUUAAAUGAUCCAUUAAUAAUGAUUAUAAGAAAAAAUUACCUUAGGGAUAACAGCGUAAUAUUUUUUUUUAGCUCAAAUAAAAAAGAAAGUUUGCGACCUCGAUGUUGGAUUAAGAUAAAAUUUAAAUGCAAAAGUUUAAAAUUUUGAUCUGUUCGAUCAUUAAAAUCUUACAUGAUCUGAGUUCAAACCGGUGUAAGCCAGGUUGGUUUCUAUCUUUAAAUAAUAAGAAUAUUUUAGUACGAAAGGAUCAAAUAUUUAAAAUAAUUUUAAUUUAAUGAAUAUUAAUAAAUUGGUUGUAAGUU
rnacentral:rRNA from 1 species